rnacentral:rRNA from 1 species
UACGGGGGGGGCAAGCGUUGUUCGGAAUUACUGGGCGUAAAGGGCUCGUAGGCGGCCAACUAAGUCAGACGUGAAAUCCCCAGGCUCAACCUGGGAACUGCGUCUGAUACUGGAUGGCUUGAAUCCGGGAGAGGGAUGCAGAAUCCCAGGUGUAGCGGUGAAAUGCGUAGAUAUCUGGAGGAAUACCGGUGGCGAAGGCGGCAUCCUGGGCCGGCAUUGACGCUGAGGAGCGAAAGCCAGGGGAGCAAACGGG